GGCAGGGGGUCCCCACAGCUAAGUCUCUUGUCUCAUUUGUCGUCCUGCAAGUGCCUGUAGCUUUCAGGGGCCCCUUCCCACUAUGGGCAGCCAGGUGCUCUGUUGCAUGGUCCUUUGUCUCCUGGGAGCAGGCACAUUGGGUGGUAGAAUCACACAGACCCCAAAAUACCUGUCCAGAGAGGAAGGACGAGAUGCGACCCUACACUGUGAACAGGACUUAGGCCAUAACGCCAUGUACUGGUACCGACAGGAGCCCGGGCAGGGGCUGAGGCUGAUCUACUUCUCCAGAGGUGAAACCAGUGUUGAGGAGGGAGACCUGGCUGAAGGCUACCAGGCCUCUCGAGAUAAGACGGCAUUCUUCCCUCUCACCAUGCCAUCCGCCCGGAAGGACCAGACAGCUGUGUACCUCUGUGCCAGCAGCUUAGACACAGUGGGGCACAGCCACCUCCUCCCACCACCCACAGCAGCUGCAGCCAUCACCUUGCUUGUGGAAUGA